UAAUCAGCAUUAAGCCAUCCACCAUGUGGUUUGGAGAAAGGAGCAGAAAAACAAAUGUAAUUGUGAGGACUGGAGAGAGUUCAUACAGAGCUUGUUUUUCUUUUCACUCCUCCUACAGUGAGAUUAAAGAUUUCUUGAGCUACCUCUGUCCUGUGAACGCAUAUCCAAAUGUCAUUCCAGUUGGCACAACUAUGGAUAAAGUUGUCGAAAUAUCAUCCUAAAGGCUUCCCGGAAUCUGCCAGGAGGAGGCAGUUGGCAGUGAGGCCUUCGAAAGGGCUUAAAGCCUUUAUGCCGGUCUUCCCAAAGUACGGAGCCAAAGUAUAAACCACUGGGAAAACUGAAGAGAGCUAGAACAGUUCACCGAGACUCAGAGGAGGAAGAUGACUAUCUCUUUGAUGAUCCUCUGCCAAUACCUUUAAGGCACAAAGUUCCGUACCAGGAAACUUUUCACCCUGAGGUAUUUUCAAUGACUGCAGUAUCAGAAAAGCAGCCUGAAAAACUGAGACAAACCCCAGGAUGCUGCAGAGCAGAGUGUAUGCAGAGCUCUCGUUUCACGAACUUUGUAGAUUGUGAAGAAUCCAACAGUGAAAGUGAAGAAGAAGUAGGAAUCCCAGCUUCACUGCAAGGAGAUCUGGGCUCUGUACUUCACCUGCAAAAGGCUGAUGGGGAUGUACCCCAGUGGGAAGUAUUCUUUAAAAGAAAUGAUGAAAUCACAGAUGAGAGUUUGGAAAACUUCCCUUCCUCCACAGAGGCAGGGGGAUCUCAGUCACCAAAGCUUUUCAGUGACUCUGAUGGAGAAUCAACUCACAUCUCCUCCCAGAAUUCUUCCCAGUCAACACACAUAACAGAACAAGGAAGUCAAGGCUGGGACAGCCAAUCUGAUACUGUUUUGUUAUCUUCCCAAGAGAGAAACAGUGGGGAUAUUACUUCUUUGGACAAAGUUGACUACAGACCAACAAU
rnacentral:sRNA from 1 species